rnacentral:lncRNA from 1 species
UGAGGGAAUAGAGGAGUAUGUGUCAGGAAGAGAGGGAAAGCCAGUAGGGCUUUGAAGCUCAGACUGUGAGAGGCAGAGUAGUAUACCAUAAGGCUAGGAAAAUAGAUUGGGACCAGGUGGUGAGGGCCUUUAAAGACUAAAUAGAGCUUACCUUUGAUCCCAGAGGCAAUAGAAAGCCACCAGUUUAUCGAGUAGGAGAAGAGAAACAACCAGAUCUCUAUUAAGGAAAAUAAUUUUGGCUACAGUGUGUAGAAUGGCCAGAAAGAGGCAAGAAGGCCAUUGCAAUAGACCAGCUUUCUGAUGUUAUCACAAAAAACGGCACGGAAAAGUCAGUCCACUCUGGAAAGGUAACAUUUUCAUUGCUUCACAAAAUCUCUUUGAAGAUAGCUUUAUCGGUUUGCUUUAAACAUCCUUUCCUAAAUAACAAGUAUGAAUUUCAUUGUUGGUAGUUCUUUUUACUGAAACUGGGUCACUGACAGCUAUCAGUAUUGAGAAAACGUCAUUGCUUCACGGAGAAAGUCUCGUUCUCCAAACAAGGGUUUGGCACUGGAAAAUAUCAGAAGACAGCCAGGGAUACACAGAAGCUGAUUUCCUGUCCCUUAAAAGCUUAUCUUACUGUGUGAUAGAAGCACUUUUGAAAAUUUAAGUGUAAGCUGAGUUUUUAUCACUCAAACCAUGUUCUGUAUGUAAAGGAGUUCAACAAUGAACCUUCCUCGUUGCACAUUUGAACCAUUUAUCAAAAGGUAAGUGUCGCUAGUACCAUGAUCCCAGGCUUAUUUCCUGUUUUCCUCUAAGGAACUCAUCCCAUGGAGGUUUCAGUCUUCCCCACAGUAUUUCAUAGUUGUAUGAGAUGCACAUUAUUGUUGGGUCAUAUCAGUCAUGUCCAACUCUGACUCCAUUUGAGAUUUUCUUGGCAAAGGUCCUGGGAUGGUUUGCCAUUUCCUUCUAGAGCUCAUUUUUACAUAUAAGGAAAUUGAGGUAAUCAGAGUUAAAUGACUUGCCUGGAGUCACACAGCUAGAAAGGAUCUGAAGUUGGAUUUGAACUCAGAAAGAUGUCUUCUUGAUUCUAGACCUGAAAUUCUAUCCACUCUGCCAUCUCACUGCCCAUGAGAUGCACAACUCAUCCUCUUUGGGAAGCAAAUAACAGUUUGUAAGGAAUUUAUUUUGAGAUUCUUUUUUGUAAACUCUUUACCUUCCAUUUUAGAAUCAACACUUGGUAUUGGUUCCAAGGCAGAAGAGUGGUAAGGGCUAGGCAACAGGGUUAAGUGACUUGUCCAAGGUCACACAGCUGGGAAGAGGCUGAGGCCAGGUUUGAACCUAGGACCUCCUGCCUCUAGGUCUGGCUCUUUAUCCACUGAAC